rnacentral:rRNA from 2 species
UUGGCUCAGGAUGAACGCUGGCGGCGUGCCUAACACAUGCAAGUCGAGCGAGACUCCGGCAGAAGAGACUUCGGUUAAAUCAGUCGGACGAUAGCGGCGGACGGGUGAGUAACGCGUAGGCAAUCUGCCCCGUACAGAGGGAUAGCCGUUGGAAACGACGAGUAAGACCUCAUGAUGCAGCACUUUCACAUGGGAGAGCUGCCAAAGAUUUAUCGGUAUGGGAUGAGCCUGCGUCUGAUUAGCUGGUUGGUGAGGUAACGGCCCACCAAGGCGACGAUCAGUAGCCGACCUGAGAGGGUGAUCGGCCACAUUGGAACUGAGACACGGUCCAAACUCCUACGGGAGGCAGCAGUGGGGAAUA